rnacentral:rRNA from 1 species
GGGAUUGCCCUAGUAACGGCGAGUGAAGCGGCAACAGCUCAAAUUUGAAAUCUGGCGCAAGCCCGAGUUGUAAUUUGUAGAGGAUGCUUCUGGGUAGCGACCGAUCUAAGUUCCUUGGAACAGGACGUCAUAGAGGGUGAGAAUCCCGUAUGUGACCGGCCCGCACCCUUUACGUAGCUCCUUCGACGAGUCGAGUUGUUUGGGAAUGCAGCUCUAAAUGGGAGGUAAAUUUCUUCUAAAGCUAAAUACCGGCCAGAGACCGAUAGCGCACAAGUAGAGUGAUCGAAAGAUGAAAAGUACUUUGGAAAGAGAGUUAAAAAGCACGUGAAAUUGUUGAAAGGGAAGCGCCUGCAAUCAGACUUCGCGGCAGUGUUCCGCCGGUCUUCUGACCGGUUCAUUCUCUGUCGCGAGGCCAUCAUCGUCUGGGCCCGCCGGAUAAGACCUUAGGAAUGUAGCUCACCUUCGGGGGAGUGUUAUAGCCUAUGGUGAUGCGGCGAGGCUCGGGCGAGGUCCGCGCUUCGGCAAGGAUGAUGGCGUAAUGGUUGUCGGCGGCCCGUCUUGAAACACGGACCAAGGAGUCUAACAUCUAUGCGAGUGUUCGGGUGUCAAACCCCUACGCGUAAUGAAAGUGAACGGAGGUGGGAACCGCAAGGUGCACCAUCGACCGAUCCUGAUGUCCUCGGAUGGAUUUGAGUAAGAGCAUAGCUGUUGGGACCCGAAAGAUGG